GGCAGUAUGGUGUAAUGCUGCACAUGGGAUUUCCUUGGACUUUGAACAUGAGUUAUUCCCGAGGUCCUUGUUCGAAUCAAGGUACUGCUC